GUGAACAGGAACCUGCAGAUCUCCUGCACUGCACCAGUACCAUCCAGUAUCACUCUUCUUCAGUCUGCUCAUCUUCACACUGAAGGAUCUUCUCCCAUCAUCACUGAUGUACACUGCUGAAUUCUGGGAUGUUUCAGUCCUCACUGUUUGGCAUUGUCCAUCUUUAAAUCUGCACCACUGCUUCUGUGUAUUCUGAUACGCAGCACUGUAGAGACACUGGACUGUGACGCUGCUUCCUUCCUCACCUCUCACUCUGCUCUCCCUCACUGACGGAUCUGAAUAAAUAGGCAGUAAAUGAGUGGUCACACCAACCCGUUCCAGACUCAGAGACAGAGUUCAGUUCCACGGUCAACAAAUUCUACUCUGGAUGAUCAAUGACUGAUGGAUUUCCACUUGAGUUUGCAUAGGCUACGAUACUGCAGCUACAUGUUUCAGUGUCCUCAUGCUCUCUACCUCUGCAAGCAAGCCACAUUAGGAAGCAGUAUUAGCGUUACUCAGACACUGAAUCAGGACGAUCAGAACAUUCAGGAAUCACUGUGUCACUACUGAGGUACAUUUAAUCUACCAGUGAUGAAAGCUGUUAACAGCCACUGCUCCAUGAAAGUAAAUAAACAAGAGCUUCUUUAACCCUUUAGAAAAAAAAUGAAGGAUACCCAGACAGUAUAUGAGAAUGAUAGAGAUUUAGUCUUACCUGAUAUACAGAGGAAAAACCCAAGAAGAGUUACAGAACCACAUAGUGAGUAAAAGCCCAUGUUUCUCUAAGACACUUGCAUGACAAAUACUCUUCCUACUUGUUGCUGAUGUUAAUUUGUACUAGCUGACUUCCUGUUUUUUCUUUUUUCAUCUCAUACUGUUACACCCUCUAAAAAAGCACAAAUUAUUGAAUAUAUUGAGGUACAUUUUUAAAUUAAUGUCAGUGUUGAACAAGUCACAGGUUUAUAACCGCAAGAAAAAACAGACUCAUAAAGAAACUUUGCCAG